AACGAACGCUGGCGGCAUGCCUAACACAUGCAAGUCGAACGAAGCCUUCGGGCUUAGUGGCGCACGGGUGCGUAACGCGUGGGAAUCUGCCCUUUGGUUCGGAAUAACAGUUGGAAACGACUGCUAAUACCGGAUGAUGACGAAAGUCCAAAGAUUUAUCGCCAGAGGAUGAGCCCGCGUAGGAUUAGCUAGUUGGUGGGGUAAAGGCGCACCAAGGCGAGGAUCCUUAGCUGGUCUGAGAGGAUGAGCAGCCACACCGGGACUGGGACACGGCCCAGACUCCUACGGGAGGCAGGAGGGAGGAAUAUUGGACAAUGGGCGAAAGCCUGAUCCAGCAAUGCCGCGUGAGUGAUGAAGGCCCUAGGGUUGUAAAGCUCUUUUACCCGGGAUGAUAAUGACAGUACCGGGAGAAUAAGCCCCGGCUAACUCCGUGCCAGCCGCCGCGGUAAGAC
rnacentral:rRNA from 1 species